rnacentral:rRNA from 1 species
AUUGAACGCUGGCGGCAUGCCUUACACAUGCAAGUCGAACGGCAGCACGGGUGCUUGCACCUGGUGGCGAGUGGCGAACGCGUGAGUAAUACAUCGGAACAUGUCCCCUAGUGGGGGAUAGCCCGGCGAAAGCCGGAUUAAUACCGCAUACGAUCUACUGAUGAAAGCGGGGGCCCUUCGGGCCUCGCGCUUUGGUGUUGGCCGAUGGCUGAUUAGCUAGUUGGUGGGGUAAAGGCCUACCAAGGCGACGAUCAGUAGCUGGUCUGAGAGGACGACCAGCCACACUGGAACUGAGACACGGCCCAGACUCCUACGGGAGGCAGCAGUGGGGAAUUUUGGACAAUGGGCGAAAGCCUGAUCCAGCAAUGCCGCGUGUGUGAAGAAGGCCUUCGGGUUGUAAAGCACUUUUGUCCGGAAAGAAAAACUUGGCCAUAAUACGGUCGGGGGAUGACGGUACCGGAAGAAUAAGCCCCGGCUAACUACGUG